rnacentral:rRNA from 1 species
UUUUUAGUGGCGAACGGGUGAGUAACACGUGAGAAUCUGCCCUUAGGAAGAGGAUAACAUUUAGAAACAUUUGCUAAUACUCUAUAUGCCUUGCGGUGAAAGAAUUUAUUCGCCUAAGGAGGAGCUCGCGUCUGAUUAGCUAGUAGGUGGGGUAAAGGCCUACCUAGGCGACGAUCAGUAGUUGGUCUGAGAGGACGACCAGCCACAUUGGAACUGAGACACGGUCCAGACUCUUACGGGAGGCAGCAGUGAGGAAUUUUCUGCAAUGGGCGCAAGCCUGACAGAGCAAUACCGCGUGAGGGAUGACUGCCUACGGGUUGUAAACCUCUUUUCUCAAGGAGGAAGAUCUGACGUUACUUGAGGAAUAAGCAUCGGCUAACCCUGUGCCAGCAGCCGCGGUAAUACAGGGGAUGCAAGUGUUAUCCGGAAUUAUUGGGCGUAAAGCGUCUGCAGGUUGAUAUGUAAGUCUUUUGUUAAAACUUUGAGCUUAACUCAAAUUCCGCAAAAGAAACUAUUUAUCUUGAGUAUGGUAGAGGUAAAGGGAAUUUCCAGUGGAGCGGUGAAAUGCGUAGAUAUUGGAAAGAACACCAACAGCGAAGGCACUUUACUGGGCCAUUACUGACACUCAGAGACGAAAGCUAGGGUAGCAAACGGGAUUAGAUACCCCGGUAGUCCUAGCCGUAAACGAUGGAUACUAGAUGUUGCGUACUUUUAUAGUAUGCAGUGU